rnacentral:lncRNA from 1 species
AAAAAAACUACAGGCAUUCCUGAAGGACCAAGAGCAGAAAUUUCCGCUGACCAGCACACAACGAAAAGAAAUAGCCAAACGGGUAAUAAGAGCCUGCUGGGUCUGUCAAUUGGUUAAUGCUUACCCUUCCAAGCUUCCUACAGGGAAGUGCCUACAAGGGACCAGACCAGGACAAUUCUGGGAAAUAGACUUUACUGAAAUUAAACCAGCAAGGUAUGGACUUAAGUAUCUUCUAGUUUUUUGUAGAUACUUUUUCAGGGUGGGUUGAAGCCUUCCCCACGAAAAAAGAAACAGCUCAAGUGGUAAUCAAAAAGAUCCUGGAGGACAUCUUCCCGAGAUUUGGCCUGCCUAAGGUAAUAGGGUCCGAUAAUGGACCGGCGUUCGUGGCCCAGGUAAGUCAGGGAUUGGCCAGGACCCUGGGG